CAUGCAAGUCGAACGCGAAACCUUCCUUCGGGAGGGGAGUAGAGUGGCGCACGGGUGAGUAACACGUGAGUAAUUUACCUUCGGGUGGGGAAUACCAGCCGGAAACGGCUGUUAAUACCGCAUAAUGCAGCGGCAUUUAUUAUGACAGUUGUUAAAGCGGGGGAUGCGCAAGCACCUCGCGCCUGAAGAGAAGCUCGCGGCAGAUUAGGUAGUUGGUGAGGUAAUGGCUCACCAAGCCUGCGAUCUGUAGCCGGCCUGAGAGGGCGGUCGGCCACACUGACACUGACAUACGGGUCAGACUCCUACGGGAGGCAGCAGUCGGGAAUCUUGGGCAAUGGGCGAAAGCCUGACCCAGCAACGCCGCGUGAAGGAUGAAGCAUUUCGGUGUGUAAACUUCGCAAGAACAGGAAGAAUAAGUUAAGGAUAACACCCUUGACGAUGACGGUACUGUUUGUAAGCUCCGGCUAACUCCGUGCCAGCAGCCGCGGUAAUACGGGGGGAGCAAGCGUUGUUCGGAUUUACUGGGCGUAAAGGGCGCGUAGGCGGUAUGACAAGUCACUUGUGAAAUCUUCGGGCUUAACUCGAAGCGGCCAAGUGAUACUGUCGAACUAGAGUGCAGAAGGGGCAACUGGAAUUCUCGGUGUAGCGGUGAAAUGCGUAGAUAUCGAGAGGAACACCUGCGGCGAAGGCGGGUUGCUGGGCUGACACUGACGCUGAGGCGCGAAAGCUAGGGGAGCGAACGGGAUUAGAUACCCCGGUAGUCCUAGCCUUAAACGAUGAAUGCUUGGUGUCUGGAGUUAUAUAGUCUCCGGGUGCCGUCGCUAACGCUUU
rnacentral:rRNA from 1 species